GACAUAGAGCCUCCCUUAGGUAGGCCCUGAACUUACAGUUGAGGCUGAUGGGCUGUUCCGUGAACCCCACGGGGACCGGAAGUCUUCCUGUUCUCAGAUACCAAAAAGGCUCUGACAGCCAGAGGCAAGUGAAAGCUGGAGCCUAAGCUUUCCUUACUGGUGUUGAGUUUAGUUGCCUGGAAUUAACCAGUUCAUUCCCUUUUAAUGGAGGAAAAACACACAUGGCUACAGAUCUGUUCAUUCCACAGAAGUCUUCUACUCUGCUCCAGCCUUAGCAGAGAUAUUUCCCACCGCAUAAACCUUGGUAGACACAUUUGCCUAAUCCUUGUACCGUCUUCAGCUUGAGUGUAUACAGAUUUAGACGCCUCUUUCACCAUGUAUUCUCAAAGGCAUCUUAUAGCAACACCCAUGGCCUGUGAGUGUCCACACUGCACAGACACCUCCGUACAUCCAGACAUACUGUCCCUGUCACAAUAAAUACGUUUUCAAUGGUCGUUUGACAUAUAUGUGGUACUUCUACAGUGUACACUGUUUUUAUUA
rnacentral:lncRNA from 1 species